rnacentral:tRNA from 1 species
GCAUCGGUGGUUCAGUGGUAAAAUGUUCGCCUGCCACGCGGGCGGCCCGAGUUCGAUUACCGGCCGUUGCA